GAUAAAAUAACCAAAUGAGAUCUAAGAAUAUUCCAGUAAAAAAGAAAACAAUAAUAAUAAUAAGUACUGUAAAGGAAAGUCUAAAUCAAGAAAAAGUCAGACCUACCUUUGGUAUCAGGGGUUUUCAAAAUAUAAGAUAGUAUCUCCUCCCGAAAUCAGGCGAGCUACACUAAACAAAGUUUACAUGUUACAGUAAUUUAUAAUCUUAGUAUAGAAGGGACAUCCUAAACAAGCCUGUUAUACCUGGUUGUGUUCUAGAUUAAUUUAAUUAAACCUUUCUUUCAAAACAAAGAAAAAUAAAAAACAGCAAAGAUAAUUAGCAGUUAUACCAAGAGAUUAAACAACAUAAACUAGAGGGGUAAAACCCGCCUCCCACAACUAUAAUUGUUCUCCGGUGAGACUAGAACUCUCCCCCAAACCUAUCCCAACUAUUAACAAUGAAAUCACGAGUAUUCUAAUAAACAACACUAUUAAUUUAAUAUAAUAUCUUUUAAUAAAAACGCUUCUUGAGAACUCGGCAAACAAAAUCUCCGCCUGUUUAACAAAAACCACUCCUCCAUCUUCUGGAGGUAUUGUCUGCCCGGUGAUUUAAACGGCCGCAGUAUCCUGACUGUGCUAAGGUAGCAUAAUCACUUGCCUCUUAAUUAGAGGCUGGAAUGAAAGAACGCACGAGAGAUUGUCUGUCCAAGGGACUCACGAUAAACUACCCUUCUUGUCAAAAGGCAAGAUAAACCUAGAAGGACGACAAGACCCUGUAAAACUUAACCCUCAUCAGAAAAAAAAAGGAAGAACUAAAAAUUUACAGCCUAGGGUUUAGCUGGGGCGGCAAGCUUACAAACAAAGCUAGAUCUAAACUUACUGAAAGAAACCAGAUAGCUGUUUUUACAAACAAAUAGCAAGUUACUUCAGGGAUAACAGCGCAAUGUAUCUUUACAGAUCUUAUUAAAAGAUGCGAUUGCGACCUCGAUGUUGAAUUGAAGAACCAGCACAUAGCAGCCUAUGUGCAAGGGAGUCUGUUCGACUUUUAAACCUUCACAUGAUUUGAGUUCAGACCGGCGUGAGCCAGGUUGGUUUCUAUCCUCUAGAUUUAAAUUCUAACAGGUUGUACGAAAGGACCUCUGUUAAGAGAACCUCUCCCCUCCUAAGAAUAAAUAGUAUUCUUAAAAAAU
rnacentral:rRNA from 1 species